rnacentral:rRNA from 1 species
GCAAGUCGAACGAUGAACCGGUUUCGGCCGGGGAUUAGUGGCGAACGGGUGAGUAACACGUGGGCAAUCUGCCCUGCACUCUGGGACAAGCCCUGGAAACGGGGUCUAAUACCGGAUACGACGCGUUCCCGCAUGGGAUACGUGUGGAAAGCUCCGGCGGUGCAGGAUGAGCCCGCGGCCUAUCAGCUUGUUGGUGGGGUGAUGGCCUACCAAGGCGACGACGGGUAGCCGGCCUGAGAGGGCGACCGGCCACACUGGGACUGAGACACGGCCCAGACUCCUACGGGAGGCAGCAGUGGGGAAUAUUGCACAAUGGGCGCAAGCCUGAUGCAGCGACGCCGCGUGAGGGAUGACGGCCUUCGGGUUGUAAACCUCUUUCAGCAGGGAAGAAGCGUGAGUGACGGUACCUGCAGAAGAAGCGCCGGCUAACUACGUGCCAGCAGCCGCGGUAAUGCA